rnacentral:tRNA from 1 species
AGUCUUAUAUUCAAUUAUGAUUAUAAAUUGCAAAUUUAUAGGUAAAUUUAUAUUUUAAGGCUU